AUGAGAGAUCCUGACCUGGUGACCAAUGACCUAUGUCUGACAUUGUCUUUCUGCCAAGGGGUGAGCUGCCUACAGAAGGUGGAGCAGAGCCCUCAGUCCCUGAAGAUCCAGGUGGGAGAGAGCACCACAAUCAACUGUAGCUAUACAGACACUACCAACAAUGGGCUGAGGUGGCUCAGGCAGGAUCCUGGGAAAGGCCUUGCCUCCCUGUUUUACCUAACUUCAGAGGAGAAGCAGAAUGGAAGGUUAGGAUCCACAAUCAGCAGGAAGGACCGUCAGAGCUCCCUGCACAUCACUGGUGCCCAGCCUGAAGACUCAGCCACCUACCUCUGUGCUGUGGAGGCACAGUGA